rnacentral:rRNA from 1 species
GUGCCAGCAGCCCGCGGUAAUACGUAGGGGGCAAGCGUUAUCCGGAAUUACUGGGUGUAAAGGGAGAGUAGGCGGCAUGGUAAGCCAGAUGUGAAAGCCUUGGGCUUAACCCGAGGAUUGCAUUUGGAACUAUCAAGCUAGAGUACAGGAGAGGUAAGUGGAAUUCCUAGUGUAGCGGUGAAAUGCGUAGAUAUUAGGAAGAACACCAGUGGCGAAGGCGACUUACUGGACUGAAACUGACGCUGAGGCUCGAAAGCGUGGGGAGCGAACAGG